rnacentral:lncRNA from 12 species
CCAGGCAGUUCUUCGUACCACAUCCCUGCUGCUGGGUAGUGAUGUUGCUUAGCAACACUAGAACAGGAAGAAUCCUGGAUUGGCUUGUGUGGAGUGUCAGUGCAGGUUGUAUUAUGUGUUCAGAGAAGAUACAUGCUGGGUCCAUGAGCCAUCUUUUAGGCCUUUCCUUGAAACAUAAUUUUUUUUACAUGCAGAAAUAUAAAUACUGCUUAUGCAAGGAGAAGGUGAAAAUUGCUGCAUCAAAAACCAACUUGGCAGAGUUCCCUGUUGCUGAGUGAUGUGUAUGGCAUAGCAUCACCAUGUGUCCAGGAGGACAAGGAAGGUGUUAGUCCUGUCUGUGCAGGCUGUAGCACCCUGCCUGGAGCGCUGGGAUAAGUUCUGGCCCUUCUGGGCCAAAUGAAACAUGGACAAACUGGAGUCAGCCCAGGGAAGGGCCACCAGGAUGAGUAAAAGAGCAUGUGUCAUAUAAGAGGAAGUUCCAGUGUGUAAAGAUAUGAUUCUAUAACUAGAAUCAAAUCCUCUUUGUCUGUGGGGCUUUUUUUUUCUGUAGUUGUGGAAUAAGAUCAUUAUUAUUAAUAUUGCCC